UCUCCACCGGCCUCCUCUGCCCGAGCUCCUCCUCGACCCGGUCAAUUCCCUGCUAUACUUUCGCGAGCUCGGCGCGACUUGCGGGGACUGGGCUUCGAGCGGAGGCGGCAUAGAACUGCAACCCGCGUCGUUGUUGGCCAGAUCUUGGCCGGGGCAAACUGCUGGCAAGAUACAACAUGGUCGCAGACAUCCGUGUGAGCGGCGGCCAGGGGCAAGGGGGAGCAGUAGCGCUGGAGGAGAGCACCUGGGGAGGAACGGCGCCAACGAGGAGGCGCGACAGGUUCAGGUGGAGCCCGCUCUGCAUCGACCGCUAAUGGAGCUGCGACGCCGCGCGGAUCAUGGACUCACCUACCUAACAUUUUCCUGGCGUGAGCUUUUCCCAGUCUCCACCGCCCCCUGGACGAGUUUCUUCAUGACCAGCAGCCGGCCCCGGUUCCAUUCCUCCUCCGACGUCGUCGCGCCAGCGCACUCCGGCACGAGCGUCCUCGGUACCCGGCGGAGGAACAGGCGAUGCAGGCAGCCAUGGAGCGCCCCGCGUCGAGAGCCGGGGAUGGAUUUGUUGGAGCAGGAGGAGGGACAAGAAGAGGCAUGGCACGACUGGCGGACGAGGCCUCGAUCGACACCGGAAAGCCCCUUUCCCCUCCCGACGAGCCUCUUCAACGUAGAGAAGAAGGGGACCAAAUAGCCUGUGUCACCGCAGAUCCGGCGAAAUCAGCGAGGGAGGGGCCUUCGACAUCUGCUGCCGCUGGACGCAUCUUCUCCACCAAAGUCAGAGAGGCGUUAGUCAUCAGCGAUGCAAGGGUACCUCCUUGGACAUUGCUGAUAAUUUCCACAGUUGUGCAUCUGCCUCCUCCUUGCACCACCAGAGCAUACGCGAGCACCUGAGUCGGGGCCAGUGCUUUUUGGGCAUUAGAUCUCUAUUAUGUAUGCUGGCAGUGAAUUCUGAAUCCCCUCUCUUCCAUCUCCAAAUAGACUAUUGGGGGUCUCUUUUAUACAUUCAAUCGCAACUGGCUAGCUCCGGGUCUGCCAAUUUAUUUCUCCCCAAUUGAUUCUACCGUUAUUUUUGAUAGCUAUGUACCACACAGACAUACAUCAUUUUUGAUAGAUUUUUACAAGACAUUAGUGGUAUAUCUUAUAGCCAGCCUUAUUUCCAUGGUUUUUUUAAAGCUCUAUCGGUGCCUAUCUAUUUCCCUUUACCGGUGUCUGGCCUGCUAUUUGUUACAGACAUGGAAAUGCAUCCUACAAAGAUAUUACAGUAUAUACUAAUGUCAUUCCUGUCUCUUGAAUCCUUUCAGGUCUGGAUUAUUUUGGAAAUUAUGUACUUCCGUAACUGAGCCGACUCCUUUGUCUAGAGUUCAGUUUGAAGCUUAUUUGGAAGUGGCCUUCAUUGUCAAUGCACCCUGAAUGGAGCAAAAUUAGAAAUGCAAUAGUUGCUCUUCUUACUUUAUUUAUUGUGCUCAUGAUUUAUUUUUCCUUGGUCGAUGCUGCUUGCGUCUUUGAUUUUGGGGGCCAACCUACCGACUCCCUACCCUGAGAACGUCGUUGGUGGUGCAUGGCUUUUGGGUAUGGCGCUGGCGAGAGAUACCCACGGAAAUUGGAGAUUUCCUCAUGAAUCUUGAUUUAGCAUGGAUUGAUUUCCGUGUCCAGUUCACCGGUGUACUGCUAUUAUGGAUGGCUGGGUGAAGUGUCCGUUUUUCUAUUUAAAUGACGGUACUGCAAUAUUCAAGCAACUCUUUUAAAUGCAAGUGCCUUUUUUGUCUCUCUGACAUGCUCACUCUAUUUUUUGUGCAACACAUGGAUGUAUUGGUCUUAGAUACUUAUGCCCCGUAACAUAUUUUUCCGUGUAAACCUGGCAUUAUACUCAAAUGAUCCCUUUCUUCCAAGUACUAUUGUGAUCCGUUUCUGCAGCUGUGGUUGAAAUUUUGAAGAAAAGGAACAGAAAUUUGUCUGCUGAAGUCUGGCAAUAAGGAUAAAGCAAUGCUGCAACUUUCUUUGUGGUACGACUGUUUGUGGUCAUUAUGCAUUUUAAACUCAUAUAGAUUUAUGUUAUUGAACUUCAUAGUUGUAUAUAGGACAUGUUAAAACACCAAAUUUGAUCCCACCUUUGAAUUUGCACUGAAGUUAGUUGAAAGUUUUUUAUCUUAUUGUCAAGAAUUCGAAACCUAAAUAAAAUCGAGUUAACAUGCAUCUUUUAUUGUGAUGGCUAUACAUCAAUCAACUUCGGAGCAAUUGGAAAGAUCUUUGACACACCUUAGAUAUCAUGGUUCAUCUCUCACAAGCACACAGAACGAUUGAGCACACAUACAACUGCCCUAGACUCUUCCUCACCUUUAUGCUUGCAAAAUUACAAUCCUAUGGCUUUCCUAUAUGCUCAAGUUUUCUAUGAAAUUCUAUGUGAGAUAUUUUGCAUUCAGAUAGCUUAUUAUGAGCCUCACGGUGCAUGUUUUGAACUACAGGUACCAUGCCAAUUCCUCUUCUGCAUUUAGGCAAGGGUUCCGUCUUGCAAAUAAACAAACUUCAGUCAAAGGUUUACUUGCAAAUAAACAAACUUCAGUUUUCCGCUUGUGUUAUGUGGUAUCCAUGAGUUCUUGGCUUCAGUUGACAUGUUCUUAUAAUAACUUGGUGGUGUUAUUUCAUUUAAACUAUCGACCGCCCAAAUGAUGUCAAAGCUGAACCUUCCACAAGGAGCUCACCAAUGACAUUAUUCCUUAACGCAAUAGACCAAGGCAAGGAAAUCGAACCAAGUGAAAGAAUCAAGAUGAUAGUCCUAUUCUACUGUGUUUUUAGGCUAUGGUUAUUACCAAGUGGCCUCAUGCUUUAAAUUAAAUUGUACUGUUUCAUUUAUGUUUCAUGGUAUUUCAUGGUGUGUGUAAUGAAAUAUGUGACAAGAUACAAACUUACUUGCUAAUAUGCAUGUUAAUACACCA